rnacentral:misc_RNA from 1 species
AAACUCAUUGUGUUUUCAUGUUUGAUUGCCAACGUUUUGACAGUUCCACAUAGAAAAUUUAUCUUGGAUAAACCCAUCACGGGAAACUGUCACCACGGCACCGCAUGUAAUGGUUGCAACACAGCUGAUAUCAUCGGUCACGGUUUCUGUUGCUACAACUGCUACGGAGCUAUGAAAAUAGAUGUUACUGUAGAUGGAGUGCAUUGCCAAUGCUGAAACUUUUGUAAUGCUGUUCAUUUUGUUUGCCAUGGAAAAAUAAAACUCCUCUGUUCAUUUGUCGUUUUCUAAGACUAUUCAUCUCUUUUUUUAUUUCUUUUAUUUGAUAUAAUAAAAGCACUCGCAUUGUAAAUUAAUGACAAUUAAUAAUAAAAUGUAAUCCAAGUU